rnacentral:piRNA from 1 species
UGGUCACUUGCCAGAACUAUUGGAUGAAUGUC